CUAAUUUUUGUAUUUUUUGUAGAGAUAGGGUUUCACCAUGUUGACCAGGCUGGUCUUGAACUCCAGACCUCAAGUGACCCACCCACCUUGGCCUCCCAAAGUGUUGGGAUUACAGGCGUGAGCCACUGUGCCCGGCCUCACUGAUGGUUUCUUAGCAAACUUCAGUAGAAUAUUUAGAAUGUGGCCCUGAUCAACUUGAGUGCUGGUAGGAGAUGCUACCUCGCUCAAUCUCUGAGCACCCAGCCCUGUGCCCUGGAUGCUUGGCAGGUGGAGAGAAAGACAGUGUUAUGUGGGCAAGCCUCCAACUCACCAGUUGCAGCAGAGCAUCUGGCUCUCCGUCUGCUGCGGCAGCCCUGUGAGUCAGUCAGACAUGUGGUCCCCAAGUCAGCUUCCCACCUAGCACCCUUGUUCUGCUACAGCUCCCCCACCUGCCCUCCUGCAUUGCCUAGGAUCCCACGCUCCACUUUCAGUCUGCUCUGGGACGUUUGUCUUCUUUGCAGGGGACUAAGUAUAUGACUUAAUGAAUCCUAAAAGGAAAAAAAAGAUGUCAGGAAAAAACAGGCACACAAGAAAUGUUGCAACAUCUCAUCCUUAGCAACUUUGUUUGGUUAGUACUGCAUAACUCACAGCAGAUUCCAAGGCACCUGCCUUGAACAUUGCUACAUGCUCUAGGCAUUAUCAGGAAUGCAGCCAGGGCGCCUGCAAAGUUGUCUCCAGUUUCUGCGUAGGAGGACCAUCAUCCAUAUUGUCUGUGGCUUUGUGUCUGAGUUGGGCGACUGAGCCUGUGACUUCAGACUCCUUGUCUGCCUGAUGGAUACAUUCUGUUUAAGACAUUGCCAUCACAAUUUCAUGAAUGUAACCAAUGAAGAUCUAGCCCUUCCAUGCCUCCUGCUGAACUAUGUCACCUAUGAUAAUAACACCUCUACACAUAGCAUUUUAUACAAAGCAA